rnacentral:rRNA from 1 species
CCUACGGGCGGCAGCAGUAGGGAAUAUUGCUCAAUGGGGGAAACCCUGAAGCAGCAACGCCGCGUGGAGGAUGAAGGUUUUCGGAUUGUAAACUCCUUUUGUUAGAGAAGAUAAUGACGGUAUCUAACGAAUAAGCACCGGCUAACUCCGUGCCAGCAGCCGCGGUAAUACGGAGGGUGCAAGCGUUACUCGGAAUCACUGGGCGUAAAGAGCGCGUAGGCGGGAUAGCAAGUCAGAUGUGAAAUCCUAUGGCUUAACCAUAGAACUGCAUUUGAAACUGUUAUUCUAGAGUAUGGGAGAGUAAGGUGAAAUUCUGGGUGGAGGGAGAAAAGCGGGAGAGAGAAAGAGGAAAACUCAUGGGGAAGGCGACCGGCUAGAACAUAACUGACGCGGAUGCGAGAAAGCGGGGGGAAAAAAAAGGAUUAGAGACCCGAGUAGUC